rnacentral:rRNA from 1 species
CCUACGGGUGGCAGCAGUGAGGAAUAUUGGUCAAUGGACGCAAGUCUGAACCAGCCAUGCCGCGUGCAGGAAGACGGCUCUAUGAGUUGUAAACUGCUUUUGUACGAGGGUAAACGCAGGUACGCGUAUCUGUCUGAGAGUAUCGUACGAAUAAGGAUCGGCUAACUCCGUGCCAGCAGCCGCGGUAAUACGGAGGAUGCAAGCGUUAUCCGGAUUUAUUGGGUUUAAAGGGUGCGUAGGCGGUCGGAUAAGUUAGAGGUGAAAUCCCGGGGCUCAACUUCGGAAUCGCCUAUGAUACUGUUAGGCUAGAGAGUAGUAGCGGUAGGCGGAAUGUAUGGUGUAGCGGUGAAAUGCUUAGAGAUCAGACAGAACACCGAUUGCGAAGGCAGCUUACCA